rnacentral:lncRNA from 1 species
GCAGUGCCUUAGCUGAGGGCUGCUGUGCUUGUCAGAGAUGCGCUGCAUCACCCUUGCUCCAAAGGCAAGAGAGAACCAACGCGUUCGUCAUGCAAGAUAGGAACGGGCUCCUAGCAAUGCUUUAAUGCAUGCAAGAAUGAAGGCAGGUAAAAUCCAGGUUUCUGAGAGGAGGUUCCUGCUUGUCUUACCCACAACGCCACGGCUCUUCAAACAGCCAGGAGGACAGCAGGUCGGAGCAAUUGACUUCCAUGUGGAGGGUCACCCCAUCCGAGGCAGAGCUGUUAACCUUGUGCUUCUUCCUACCAGCAUGCGCGGACUAAACUAAGGCAAGGCGGGGUAGCGUGGGGGUCUCACGGGGCCGCUGGACUUCAUCUCCUGAUGAAGGCUACCCUGCUCCUCCCCAGGGGCAUGCCAACCAUGGAAACACUCGCCACGACUCCUGCCCACCUGGCGUGGCUGGCUGCGGGGGACGGGACGGGACAGGCGCCCUCGGUCCCUGUGGCUCUAGCAGCAGUGCUGCUCUCAGGGGUUGGCGCUGCAUCCCGGUGGAGCUGUGCUGCCAGAGCCCCGAGGUGGAUGCGGGAGGAACACUACAGCUGCACCCCAAAUCCUCCGGCGCGUGGCUGACCUGGGAGCUGCUUUGGGCUGCUUGCAGUCUGGACCCUACUGCUGCCACCUGCAGCGUGGCAGGCCUGAGCGUGCCACAUCGCUGCUGCUGCGCCGCUGUGCCAGCUCCUCCAGGGCUGCCCGCCGGGCAGAAGGGGACAGAAGUCCAUCCGUGGCCAUGUCCUGCCCCUCAGCCUUUUCCCAUGGAGUGAGGCAAGACCCGUGCUGCUUGGGGACGCUGUCCUGGAUGCCACCCUGGCCUUGCACUCCCGAACAGCCCAGGCUCGGUGCCCAUGCUGCCUGGGCAGCCGUGAGCGCCUGGGCUGGGGGCCAGCGGAAGAGCUGUCCUGCGCCUCCCCGGCAAGGUUCACAGCAAGGCUCACGGACCGGAGGUUUCCCC